AUGCACAAAAGCAAAGCAGUCAUGUUCGCUCACAAGCAACUAUCAGCUAGCGGGUAUGUAACAACAGCUAUUACAUUAACCGUUGUUAUAGGGUAUGUAAAAAUUCUGUUAAUUUCAAAAAGAAACCUGACGCUUGGGAAUCUGAAAGCCUAUUCAAAUAAUGGGAGUGGGAACCUAAAAAGUACAUUUUUCAUAAUUAAAUCACCAGUCAAAAGGACCUGUUCUAAUACAUUUCUAAUCAAAUGAAAGUUUGGGGCAACAUUUAAAAGCGCAUUGAGGUUGUGCUUCACAGUACACUGGGGGUUAACCUACUCGGUUGUUAAGAUAAAGUUUGAAUAUGGGAAAAAAAAGUUCUUAAUCAGGGUAAUUACUGGGUCAAAACUUGUUACUUUCUUCUUAUUCUGAUCAGGGUGUUUCUCAAUAUGCAUUCUACCGUACUCCACACUCUCAUGCUCCGAGUGCAUUCUCCGACGACGUUCUCGAGUACGUUCUUGUGAGGACGAGAGUGUAGAGAAGCAUUCGCCAUCCCCCCUACUACAGUUGAAGUCGGAAGUUUACAUACACCUUAGCCAAAUACAUUUAAACUCAGGUUUUCACAAUUCCUGACAUUUAAUUCUAGUAAAAAUUCCGUUUUAGGUUAGUCAGGAUCACCACUUUAUUUUAAGAAUUUGAAAUAUCAGAUUAAUAGUAGAGAAUGAUUAAUUUCAGCUUUUAUUUUUUUAAUUUACUGUGGCUAUAGAUACUUUGUAUCUGUUUCCUAGAGCACCAUGGUGUUUAUACUUGUGUACAAUUGUUUGUACAGAUGAACGUGGUACCUUCAGGUGUUUGGAAAUUGCUCCCAAGGAUGAACCAGAAUUGUGGAGGUAUAGAAAAAAAAUUGUGAGGUCUUGCCUGAUUUCUUUUGAUUUUCCCAUGAUGUCAAGCAACGAGGCACUGAGUUUGAAGGUAGGCCUUGAAAUACAUCCACAGAUACACCUUCAAUUGACUCAAAUGAUGUCAAUUAGCCUAUCAGAAGCUUCUAAAGCCAUGACAUAAUUUUCUGGAAUUUUCCAAGCUGUUUAAAGCCACAGUCAAUUUAGUGUAUGUAAACUUCUGACCCACUGGAAUUUGGAUACAGUGAACUAAGUGAAAUAAUCUGUCUGUAAACAAUUGUUGGAAAAAUUACUUGUGUCAUGCACAAAGUAGAUGUCCUAACCGACUUGCCAAAACUAUAGUUUGUAAACAAGAAAUUUGUGGAGUGGUUGAAAAACGAGUUUUGAUGACUCCAACCUAAGUGUAUGUAAACUUCCGACUUCAUCUGUAUAUUACCUUACGCUUCACCUCCCCAUUCACUGAAACGUCUUUCAGCCAGGACAAUGGCAGCAAUAGACAAAACAGGAUAUACACAAAGCAAACGUUUUACUUCAUAGUUAUCAGCUAGAUAUGUGAAUCGUAAUAAUCUAGAUAGCUAGCUAGUUAAACAGGCAGAAAUGACCUAAAACUAAUGUUAUGCAAGGUAGAUGUACAUUCUUCGUGGGUAGCUACCAAUUCUUCGUGGCUAGCUAGUUAUCCAGUUAGCCCUAUUGAUUUACUAUGGACCUGGGACUUAGCCAUUCACUGAACUGUCUUCCAGCCAGGACAAUGGCAUUAGAGAUGAAACAAGAUAUACACAAAGCAACCAUUUUACAUCAUAACUAUCAGCUAGCUAAAUGUGAAUCCUAAUAAUGUAACUAAACAGAUAGUUUAACAGGCAAAAAUUACCUAAAACAAAUAUUAUCCAAGAUAGAUGUUAAAUAGAUGUUAGUUAUUCGUGGGUAGUUAGCUAGCAAUUCUUCAUGGCUAUCUGGCUAACAGUAGUAGCUAGCCAGUUAGCCCUAUUGACUUAUUAUGGGCUUGCGAUCUAUGGUAAGUAGGCAGGUAAACAGCAUGUAUUUAUGACGGUAUCAAGAAAAAAAUAUUGUAGUCUGGCAACAUAUGACAUGUGAAUAUGCAACAUUUCAUUCUGAGGUCGACGUGUAUUUUCUCUUGCUUCAGCUCAACCAAUGCCCACCAUUGAUUUAAAAAUAUUUUACAUCAUUUUUUACGUGGUUGCGCCAUAUUUCUUUGCAUACUUUCC
rnacentral:lncRNA from 8 species